GCGGCCGCAGCUCGACCUGGUGGAGCGCUUCCCUGUCACGGAAGAGGAUGCGGGUUCAAAUCCCGUCGGCCGCGCAA
rnacentral:tRNA from 1 species